rnacentral:rRNA from 1 species
UACGAAGGGGGCUAGCGUUGCUCGGAAUGACUGGGCGUAAAGGGCGCGUAGGCGGAUGGCACAGUCAGAUGUGAAAUUCCCGGGCUUAACCUGGGGGCUGCAUUUGAUACGUGUUGUCUUGAGUUCGGAAGAGGGUCGUGGAAUUCCCAGUGUAGAGGUGAAAUUCGUAGAUAUUGGGAAGAACACCGGUGGCGAAGGCGGCUCUCUGGACCGAUACUGACGCUGAGGCGCGAAAGCGUGGGGAGCAAAUGGGG